rnacentral:rRNA from 1 species
UACGGGGGGGGCAAGCGUUGUUCGGAAUUACUGGGCGUAAAGGGCUCGUAGGCGGCCAACUAAGUCAGACGUGAAAUCCCUCGGCUUAACCGGGGAACUGCGUCUGAUACUGGAUGGCUUGAGUUUGGGAGAGGGAUGCGGAAUUCCAGGUGUAGCGGUGAAAUGCGUAGAUAUCUGGAGGAACACCGGUGGCGAAGGCGGCAUCCUGGACCAAUACUGACGCUGAGGAGCGAAAGCCAGGGGAGCAAACGGG